rnacentral:sRNA from 1 species
CUUUCUUGUAGCGGCAUCGCUAGAUCUAGGUUUUCUUGUCGUUUCAGAGUGUUAGGCUUUGGGCUAUGGGAAAGUGUGUCGUCUUUCCUCCCAUGGAGUUGUGGAGUAACUAUCGGUGUUGAGGUGUAGGGAGUUGAGGUUCUGUUGGGCUCCGAGAUGGAGUGUGAGCUUGAAGAAAAUGUUAAGAAAUUACCAGAGAAAAACACAAGGUUCGUAUGGACAACAUUCUUGACAGGAGCUUUAAAAGCUAUCGCUGAUGGGAUGCCACUUAACAAUGUCUCAGAAAAAAUUACAUUUAUAAUUAUUAAAUAUUUCACUUAUACUUUUUAAA